rnacentral:rRNA from 1 species
UACGGAAGGCAGCAGGGGGAAUAUUGCACAAUGGGCGCAAGCCUGAUGCAGCCAUGCCGCGUGUAUGAAGAAGGCCUUCGGGUUGUAAAGUACUUUCAGUCGUGAGGAAGGUGUUAAGGUUAAUAACCUUAGCAAUUGACGUUAGCGACAGAAGAAGCACCGGCUAACUCCGUGCCAGCAGCCGCGGUAAUACGGAGGGUGCGAGCGUUAAUCGGAAUUACUGGGCGUAAAGGGCACGCAGGCGGUUAAUUAAGUUGGAUGUGAAAUCCCCGGGCUUAACCUGGGAAUGGCAUUCAAGACUGGUUAGCUAGAGUCUUGUAGAGGGGGUAGAAUUCCAUGUGUAGCGGUGAAAUGCGUAGAGAUGUGGAGGAAUACCGGUGGCGAAGGCGGCCCCUGGACAAAGACUGACGCCCAUGUGCGAAAGCGUGGGGAGCAAACAGGGAU